GAUGAACUGUGAACUUGGGGCAUCCGAGAGGCGCAGGCAUUUAGGAGUCCUGCAGCAAACCUGGACCCGAGUGUAAACACAGCUUCCAAAGCGAAAGCAGGGGCCUUGAGGAAAGGAGUUUUACCCUCAUCUCGCUCGCGACCAGCUUACUGUGCUGGAAAACAAAGUUCCAGUUUUUCUCUCAGAAGAUCCUGAGGCCUGCUUCUCUUCCUGGACUGUAUCUUUACCUGUGCUUCUCUCUCUUCCUCGUCUGUUCACCUGCUGACACCUGCUUAUUCCUACCUAGGAUUUGUCUCAGGUAUCACCUCCUCCAGGGAGCCUUCUGCGUUAUGUUAGAUAAUGUGAUGUAUGUGAUGUAAUUGAGAGAGGAGACUUUUUCUCUGUAUCACAGUGUCUGGCAUGUUACUGUCGCUUGCUACUCGUAGAAGGAAUAAAGAAGACAGGAUAAAACAGGCGAAGACCCAGAUCACUGAGUGUUCCUCUUGGGUGUGACGGAGCUGGGCCGAGAGUAAAGGCACGCAGCCGGACAGUGCAGGUGGAAAGGUGCUCCAUCACCUGUCACCUCUCAGGGCAGCCCCAGUCCCCUCUCCUCCUGCCCAGUCGGUCAUCUUUGAGCAUGCUUCAGCCACACCACUCUCACUCGAGGCGCUUCUGUGGAAGAGUUCCAGCUUCUUUACCCUGGCUGUCCGGACUCUGUCCACCUGGACCACACACCAUUUUUGACAUGUGCCCUAGCUAGCGUCCAUCGUCUAGGACUCAGGAAUUAUUUGUUGAUGGUCUUAACUACUAGGACUCAGGAAUUAUUUGCUGAUUUGCUUAACUACUUACUGACAGACAGUAUGGCAAAAGCGCAUCCUGAAGUGUCCAUUAAGACGUAUGCUAAACCAACUAUACUUUAGUUUUUUGAAAAGAGCAAGGAAGGAGAAAAGACGUGAGCUUCCGACCAUCUGUGGGUUUGAGGCGCAGUGCUGGCCGCAGUGCCCAUUAGAGAGCUCUGUGCCUGCACAGAGCUGACAGCCCAGCCGGGGAGGAGACGGAACAGUGCAGGCCACGCUAGGGAACCAGCAGCAGAAAUGACCGUGUCGCAAGGCAGUGUGUGGUUAAUGGCCAGACACACGGCUCAAGAAUGAAUCGUGUAGGUUCUCCACUCCAAAAGGACAGAAGCCAGCCUGGCCGCCUGUUGACCCACGUCACACAGCACAGGUACCCUGCCAGUCGCGCAGAACCCACCCCCCUGACUCCAAAGCUACAGAAAUACUGAAGAGAAUGUGCCGUUUGUCUCUGUAGCGCCCACAUUCCCUGAAAGACUCUCUCCUCCCCCCCUCCCUUCCUUGUCCAACUUUGUCCCUCCUUUGAGAGGCUCCUCUUCCUUUCAGAGCAGCCUAGAGACCCUGAGUACAGCCUGCUGACCCUGCAGGCAGCUUCUGCCAUGGAGUGGAGGGCGGUGCUCGUGCGCUUCUGUCCUGUGAGGGACGUGCACCGCCGCAGGGACCGUGUCUUUUCCCUCCAGCACCUGACGCUCUGCGACAUGGAGCACAUGUCCCUUAAGCGUUUGUCAUUGACCGAAAGGACUUAACACGUUAGAGGGGCUGAGUAACAUGGGUUGGCUUUAUAGGGUUAAGACAUGAAUGCUGUGAGUGCAGAAGAGGGUGACAAGCCAGAGUGGUCCAGGGAGACUCUGCAGAGCAAGCAGGGAAUAUUGGGCUGGGCCUGGGAGGCUUCGUACAUUUAAAAUGGGCGGAGAACCCCAGGUGGAGUAGCUCUGUGCCUGUGAUUGCUGCCAACCCAGCUGGUCUCUCGAAACAGGAAAACAGACCAGAGGGAGGGAGCCCUGCAGAGCCAGGCAGUGGGGGCAGCUUGUUUUAGUUGGAGCAGAGGGUUUGUCUAAAGGAAGGAGAGAGAAUGCCCUGGCAGAAGGAUGGACUUAGGAUGGAUUUAGGUGGUGGAAAGACCUCAAAUGCAGCGGGGUAUCUUGUCGGCAGCGGGCGCUGUGGAUUACUUUUGACAACCACAGUGACCUGAUGGAAGUGGUGUGGAAUGUGGGAGCUGCCCUGUGGCCCUGCCCUCAGUUUGCAUCACAGCCCAUGGUCCAGGUGGUCACCACGAUGCUUAGGACCCAGGUGUGAAGCCCCUCGACUGCACAGCGCUUCACCUUGCAGGGCUGGACCUGCCGUAAACAGCGGCUCUCCUUCCGGCAUUGCCCUUGACCUGGCUCUGAGCUGUUGAGGCUUUGGGUCCAUUCAGCUCUGUCCUGUCCCUCCACCCUCGUGACUGGCAAUGACCCGGAAGGGGGCAGCACCCCCGCAGCAGGUGGCCUCCAGAGCUGAGUCACUGCCCUGGGAAUGGUGCCCUGGUGAGGCUGGCUCAGGCAAAUGGGCGAGCUCUCCGCCCUGGCAGAGCCCAGAGCCCAGGAGAAAUAGAUUCCUUGUGCAUCUAGAGGCAUCACUGAGCUGAUAAGAAAGUGAAGUAAAGGCAGCUGGAGACCCAGAAGCAAACUGUCCCAAUGAUAGUUUCUAGCUGGGUCUUUGGCAGAGUCCAAAGCAUUUUUCUCACAAUUAAACGUACGGGCCGUGGUUGUUUUAUUUGAACACACCAAAAUUAUCCAUUUACGGAUACCCUUAAGAAUGGAAUGCAAAGGAGUUUAAGAUAAUGUCUUAAGAUUCUUUUUGACCUUGUAAAUUACAAGCGCUUAAGGAAUGAGCUUAAGGAUUAAAAUGAUCUGGAGAGUUAUUCUUGGAAAUUAAUAAAUGAAGUUUAGGUCUUUUUUUUUUUUAACACGUUUUCUUUAUCAUUCCUAAAUACUCUGAUGGAUGUUGUUUUUUGAAAAUGAUCCUGCUUUUAAUUCAUCACAGAGAAGAUAGAAAUAUAGUGUUGCUUUUGAAAGGAGGGUUUUUUGGGUGGUUUUUUUUCCCCUAAGUCUGGCUUGUUUACUACACCAAUGAAUAGAGAUGACCUCAGUCUGAAAAAACAAGCUAACCAUACUCUCUCUCCUUGCCUGGCAAAAAAGGCCUUUAUCAAGUAGCAAAAGACAGCAAGUCAGACCACCAAGUCAUCAUUUUAGCUGAUUAGAUUUUCCAAAAGACAGAACAGUAAGCUCUCCACGUUUUCACUGCUGAGCAGUGGCUCUUGGGAAAUACUCCCAACUCAGUUUCUGUAAAACCUUAAAAAGUCUGGUGACAGUUACUCAGACAGCUGCCCGAAUGCAGAUGCUACAGAUGUGGUUGCCCAUGCCCUCGCCCCUGUGAGAUUUCAGAAUGGGAGAAAAUAGCAUCACGUCUCUUGCUUUUUGAGUACGAAAUUUUUUAAUUAAAAAAGAAAAAAAAAA
rnacentral:lncRNA from 1 species